rnacentral:sRNA from 1 species
AACCGCCCGUACCUUGCGGUUCUGAGCGCCGCCCGCACCCACCUGACCACUGCUCGCUGCGUUUUUAAGCC